rnacentral:lncRNA from 1 species
UUGUCGCUUAGUUGGCAUUGAAUUUCAAAUUGGCAUGCCAACUAUUGUCAAUGAGCCGAGGACUGAUUGGUUACGAUCAUAAGUCGAAUGGCCCAUGCUGUUUUCAGAUGAGGAAGUCAAGAACUGGAGGCCCGCUCAGCAAGGGGAGGCUGGUCAACUAGAUGUGAUUGGCUGAUAGCCAUCCCCCGAUCGGACUGAGUUAGCCAUGUGUG